GACGAACGCUGGCGGCGUGCUUAACACAUGCAAGUCGAACGGAAAGGCCCUGCUUUUGUGGGGUGCUCGAGUGGCGAACGGGUGAGUAACACGUGAGUAACCUGCCCUUGACUUUGGGAUAACUUCAGGAAACUGGGGCUAAUACCGGAUAGGAGCUCCUGCUGCAUGGGGGGGGUUGGAAAGUUUCGGCGGUUGGGGAUGGACUCGCGGCUUAUCAGCUUGUUGGUGGGGUAGUGGCUUACCAAGGCUUUGACGGGUAGCCGGCCUGAGAGGGUGACCGGCCACAUUGGGACUGAGAUACGGCCCAGACUCCUACGGGAGGCAGCAGUGGGGAAUAUUGCACAAUGGGCGGAAGCCUGAUGCAGCAACGCCGCGUGCGGGAUGACGGCCUUCGGGUUGGAAACCGCUUUCGCCUGUGACGAAGCGUGAGUGACGGUAAUGGGUAAAGAAGCACCGGCUAACUACGUG
rnacentral:rRNA from 1 species